rnacentral:misc_RNA from 1 species
AAGAGUUAUUACAACUCCCAAACCCAUGUGAACCUACCUUUGUUGCCUCGGCAGGUCUGCAGCUUACCCUGUGAGACCCUACCCUGUAGGUACCUUACCUGGUAGUUGCGGGUAAAAAAGCCUGCCGGUGGUCUACUAAACUCUGUUUACUAUGUUAUUCUGAAUAAUAUAACUAAAUAAGUUA